UACAGAGGGUGCAAGCGUUAAUCGGAGUUACUGGGCGUAAAGGGCGCGUAGGCGGUUAUUUAAGUUUGAUGUGAAAUCCCUGGGCUUAACCUAGGAACUGCAUUGAAUACUGAGUAACUGGAGUACUGUAGAGGGUAGUGGAAUUUCCGGUGUAGCGGUGAAAUGCGUAGAGAUCGGAAGGAACACCAGUGGCGAAGGCGGCUACCUGGACAGAUACUGACGCUGAGGCGCGAGAGCGUGGGGAGCAAACAGG
rnacentral:rRNA from 1 species